AGCGAACGCUGGCGGCAGGCCUAACACAUGCAAGUCGAACGAAGCCUUCGGGCUUAGUGGCGGACGGGUGAGUAACACGUGGGAACGUACCUUUUGGUUCGGAAUAACGCAGAGAAAUUUGCGCUAAUACCGAAUGAGCCCUUAGGGGGAAAGAUUUAUCGCCGAAAGGUCGGCCCGCGUUGGAUUAGGUAGUUGGUGUGGUAAAGGGGCACCAAGCCUACGAUCCAUAGCUGGUCUGAGAGGAUGAUCAGCCACACUGGGACUGAGACACGGCCCAGACUCCUACUGGAGGGAGCAGUGGGGAAUCUUGCGCAAUGGGCGAAAGCCUGACGCAGCCAUGCCGCGUGAAUGAUGAAGGUCUUAGGAUUGUAAAAUUCUUUUACCAGGGACGAUAAUGACGGUACCUGGAGAAAAAGCCCCGGCUAACUUCGUGCCAGCCGCCGCCGUAACAC
rnacentral:rRNA from 1 species